rnacentral:lncRNA from 12 species
GCAGACUGUCAGGGUUAAAGACGGCUGGUGGUGAGCGUGUUGGGAGUUCUAUCUGUCUGGGUUCCCCUGCAGGGCCAGGGCUGGUUCCUGUAGCUGGGGAUCUGAGCAGGGCCUGCAGUGGAGUAGGCAGAGGAGGCCAGACCUGCUUGGAUCUCCUCCUUAGAUCUUGGAUACCCUUGUGUCUGGAAGCACAUUCUGAGGCAGUCACCACACCCUUCUCAGCUGACAUUCCUUCAGUGGGAUGACUCUUUGAUGUGCUGUAUAUCGAGUCCCUGCCUCACCACAGCCCCAAACUAGCAAUCACUAAGCCGUCAAAUUUCAUUUCAAGGGCCUCUUCUGCAUAAGUCUAUUCUCUUCCUCCAGGUCAGCUCCUAGCUGGUCUCCCUGACUUCAGCUCCCUGGGUUGUCUCCACCUUGCCACUGGGGAUGGAUGAAUUACCUUAAAACAUGAUUUGGUCAUGCAGCUGCUCAGAAAGCUUCUGGGAUGCUCCAUGUCUGAGUGGCUUGCUACUGGAACUGGAAAUGUCUAUGACUGGGAGAAAAUCUGGCCAGUGAAAAAUUUGAAUCAGACAAAAGUGGGCCACUUAAUUCUGCAUGAAUACACUUGAGAGCGAAUAUGUUCUGAUUCUCCAAGCAAGAUGGCUCUUCACAAUACUUGGCUUUGUUAAAACCAUGUCUGCUGACACUUGGACUCUCUCCAGUUACCUGGCAUCUGAAAUUAUACCUUUAGUGAUUCACUCCUUUGAACUAAACACAGAUGUCUUCAGAAAUAACAAGUUUAGCUGACUAAAAAGACCAGGUGUCUAAUCGACUUGGCUGGUUGUACUGACAGAUAUUUGAUAUGACAUCAAUUGACUAAACUGACGGGAAUUUGAAUGAGUACAGUCAAAAUGUUUGAAUCCAUCAUCGGGGAGUGUCAACCAAUUUUUGCUCUGGAGAAAGCACUCAAGUGUCUGCAUUUUACCAUGAGGAAGUACAAGCUGUUUGGCCUCAAGAAAUAGAAAGUGAUCCAAGAGAAGACUCCUUUGAAAGAACCUGAGUGAUUUUUUGUGUGUGUGCCUUCUGAUCUUUUGCAAGAACCUAAGUGUGUUUGGGAAAGACCAGCUUAUGUGCCCAUUACAGUUACUUGGUCUCCAGGGAAGGCAGAUGCAGCAGAAGUGAGUCUGGGCAGAUAUGUUUUUCAUAUUAUGCUAGAGACCUUACACUUAUCCUGUUCCUGAGGUUUCCAGGGCCAGACCAUGCAAAAGCAGAGCAGUAGGUAUAAAGGGUUUUCAGGUUUCCAUAAUCCAUGUUCCUGCCACCCGACCCUGCCUCAGAUUCUUUCUUCCACCUUUGUCCUCCCUCAUCAAGGUGUUCAACUCUCCUACUGCCCCUCUCUGGGGAAAAUAGUCUCUACUCCCCUUAAGGAAUAGGUGACAAAUCCCACUACUCACUAAGCCUCCCCAAGAGAGACGACGUUGGCCAGGGACUGACAUUUUAGUUGAACACUUACUAUGUCCCAGGAACUGUGCUGAGUACUUUACACAUGUUCCUAACAACUACUAACCAUUCCAUGGCUCAUUUAUGGUCUUUUGACAGUUCAUGAAAUAACUCUCUUGGCUGAAGUUGAGAGCUGAGGUUCUGCAAAAUUUCCAGAUAUGUUUGACUUGCUCUAGGCAGUGAACUGGAUCCCAGAGAUGUGGGGUCUUGGGUACCAUGCGCAGCCACACAUAGCCACACACACCCUGGCACACCCUCAGCCAGCAUCAGUUACUGCAGUGGCCGACGCAGAGGCUCUGAUGGUUCA